rnacentral:lncRNA from 1 species
AUGUUUGAUUAUGUGAAUCAUCGGUGAUGUGAUAUGUGAAAUGAUGUUGAGCUCAUAAAACUGCACCUAGGGUGAUUGAGAUUUAGCCAGAGAUAUGAAGUACAUGCCUGUUUAUUUACGUCACCUCCCGCACUAUAUGCUCAUAUUGGAUCUAACUUAAGUGCACAGUCUUGUCGUACAUACCUUAUUCAUGGUUCUGACUCGUAGAUGACUAGUGAUUUAUCGCUCGGCUAUUAUGAGAGAAUAUAAUUAAGCAUAAUUAUAUUACACCCAAUCUUGUCAUACAGACCCUUUUUUAUAGUUCCGACUUAUGUGCAGUACAUUGUCGUAUAAGUCAUUGUAGUGACUCCGGCUAGAUUGACUUUUGAGCUAUGAUUCAGCCGUACAGACUACCACAGGGGUUCCGGCUAACAUAUCAUAUUUCUAUGAAAUCAUUCUUACCUGGAUUGUUUACUUUGUUAUAUUUUGGCCUGGCAUACAUAUGAAUAUGAUUAUGUGAAGCAUGAAUUGUUAUGAUUUCAAAUAUAUAUAUAUAUAUAUGCUUAUAUCUUGAUUCUGGGAAAAUUAUACAUGUUUUACAGAGAGGGGUUAGAUAUGUUGAUAAAGAAAAUGAUUUUGUAAAACAUUUGUUUUUGCCCACUCACGUUUUCUGUUUUGCGCCCUUCCAGGUUUUAAGUAAGCUUGUUGUUGGUGGCUUGAGGACGUCGGCAGUUCUGACUUAUCCAAAUAAUAGUGAGACAUUCUUGGUACUGUAUAACUAGUACUUGUCCUACUGGACUGCACCUAGACUUUAUGCUCUGAUUAGGAGUGUUUACUGUUGUAACUAACUCCUAUCACUAUCUGUUUAGUAGUGCAAUCUAGUAAUUCGGUUUUUAAUUAUUCGUAUAAUUCUUAUCUUUAUUGCUUCUGCACUGUGGCCAGCAUGUCUUGAUCUCGAUCGGGGUGUGUCAUGAAGUGGGUUCCUUCCCGCUCACCAGCGCACUCUGAUAUUUAGGCACUCUUAGGUUUAAAUUUGUUCACAUUUUUCCACAUCAUUGCACUUUAUGGCUUCGUCACCUUCCAGGUGUCGGCCAGCGCAGCUCGAUUCAGAGUCCUAGUAGACAUUCCGGGUCGGGGUGUGUCACUAGGUAUUAAUAACAUCAUUAAUUAUUUCAAUAAUAAAAUAUUUUUAUUUCUAAAAAUAUUCAUUUAAUGUUAAAAAUGUUACAAUUAGUAUAUUUAUAUUUAUGGCUAAAUUUUUUAUCAUAUAUUUUUAUUUUUAGUUUGUACUCAUUUUUAAUUUGCAACCCUUUUUUAAUUUGUAUCAAUUUUCUUUUCAGUUUUAAUUUGUACCCAUAUAUUAAUUUCUUUUUGUGCCCAUAUUUUAUAAAGUUUUAUUUGUAUUUGUACCCAUAUUUUUUUAUUUAUAUGUAUCCAUUUUUAAUUUUCAUUCUUAAAUAUAUCAAUUUUUUAUAUGUAAAAUGUACCCUUUUUUUAUAUAUAAAAUAUAUUCAAUUUUUUUUUCUAAUCCGUUUUUAAACUUAAUUAUAUGGGUACAUUCUUUUUUCUUUAAUUUGAGAAUAUAUCCAUGUUAAGUUUAAUCGAAUAAAUUUACUAAUUUUAUUAAACCUAAUAUCUUCUUCUCUUUUUUUUAUUUUUUUUAUUUUGAAGAAUGUACCCAUGUUUGAUACAAUAAUUUUUUGGUUAAUUUUGAUGAAUGUACCCAUGUUUAUAUACACACACAAUAGUAUAUUUAUAUUUUAAUACUUUUAAUCCCACAAAUUAUGGUUUUUUAUUUAAAAUAUCAUUAAUAUAAACAACUAUAAAUUUCAAUUUUUAAUUUAAAAAAUAUGGUAACGUACAUAGAAAUAAAUUAUCAUAUUAAUUUCACGAACUUGGAUCCAAAAUUGAAAACCGACAAGGUUUCAGUCAAAGAAUAUUCAUAACUAGGGACCGCAUCCAAUGUCUCCCUUUGUGGGAUUAAAAAUAUUAAAAUAUAAAUAUACUAUUGUAUGUGUGUAUAUAUAUAAACAUGGGUUCAUUCAUCAAAAUUAACCAAAAAUUAUUGUAUCAAAACAUGGGUACAUUCUUCAAAAUCACAAAAAAAAGAAGAUAUUAGGCUUAAUAAAAUUAGUAAAUUUCUUCAGUUAAACUUAACAUGGAUACAUUCUCAAAUCAAAGAAAAAAGAAUGUAUGUAACGACCAGUCCCCAAUUUUUACGAUUUUUAUAAUUUUAAAAAGUGAAUUUACAAAAAUGCCCUUCGAGACAAAGUGUUGACUCAUGUUGUCUGCUGUGUUGUGUCACGUAAGAUUCAUUUUCUUGGUGUAUCCUUGUAGUAAUCGUCGCUACGGACGCGUGGCGCAAAUGGAGCGCAAUUU